AUAUGAUAUACAAUUACAAACGGUUAAAAAGUUAAAAUUAGAAAUAUACAAUGUUCAUGGUAUAUUGACAUGCACAAGAUACUGAGAUUAGUGAAAGAUAUAGAUUAAAAAGGAAUGUAUUUUCCCACUCAUCGCAAAAACCAACUCGUAAGCUCCGCUGCGAGUGCUCGCAUCUAAUUAACAUAAACUGUCGAGCAUUGUGGUUGAAUGAAAAGAGUAAAAUUUGGAUAUUGCAUCUAAUUUGAUGGAAUUUGAUAUGUUAAUAUUUCUUAUCAUUAUUUGCCACUAUCCACUGAUGCAUUAAUGAACAAUGUAUUUUAUUAUAUGGCUUUUCCGCAAAAUUCUCUAUUCUGAUUGGUUGACAAGCGGUCCGUAAAAACCCAUAUCCGGACCGUGGUCCGUAUUUUCCGUAUUUGGACCGGUGUCCCGGAUGUCGUUUAUCUGACGGGAAAUUUUUGCUUUGCAAACAGAAAAAAUUUUUGCUUUUUAAUUUUCGAAUUGUGCUUUACCUGUAAAACAAAAUUGUUUAGUGAUUGAGCGUGCAUGCCUACCGUAUAUUGUUAUAUUACCCAGUGAAACUGACGAUAGCCGAUUUAAUUUAAUUCGCGCGAAAAGCAUAUGCUCACAGACUCAGCCAUAUAAUAAACCAAUUAUUGACCUCGCUUGUUCGGUCUGUACUGUGAAAUAUCAGACCUCUGUUUUUUGCAUGGACCUCGCUCCUUCGUCGCUCGGUCCAUACUAAAAAACCUCGGUCUGAUAUUUCACAGUACAGACCUCACGCUCGGUCAAUAAGCAGUUAUUAUUAAAUACACAAGGUCUGGAUAUGAG